ACGAACGCUGGCGGCGUGCCUAAUACAUGCAAGUCGAGCGGAUCUUGUCCUUCGGGGCAAGGUUAGCGGCGGACGGGUGAGUAACACGUAGGCAACCUGCCUGCAAGACUGGGAUAACAUUCGGAAACGGAUGCUAAUACCGGAUACGCGGUUUCUUUGCAUGAAGGGAUCGGGAAAGACGGCGCAAGCUGUCACUUGCAGAUGGGCCUGCGGCGCAUUAGCUAGUUGGUGGGGUAACGGCUCACCAAGGCGACGAUGCGUAGCCGACCUGAGAGGGUGAUCGGCCACACUGGGACUGAGACACGGCCCAGACUCCUACGGGAGGCAGCAGUAGGGAAUCUUCCGCAAUGGACGAAAGUCUGACGGAGCAACGCCGCGUGAGUGAUGAAGGUUUUCGGAUCGUAAAGCUCUGUUGCCAGGGAAGAACAGCUUCGUGUUAACUGCACGGAGUGUGACGGUACCUGAGAAGAAAGCCCCGGCUAACUACGUG
rnacentral:rRNA from 1 species